UUGCCCUAUAGCUCAACUGGCAGAGCAAGCGGCUGUUAACCGCUAGGUUGUAGGUUCAAGUCCUACUAGGGCAGU
rnacentral:tRNA from 1 species